rnacentral:miRNA from 1 species
AAGAGGAGAAAGGUUUGGGCA